GAGAUUUAAAGGGUUAGUGAUGGAAAACUUGCAGGUCAAUGGGCAUCAGUGUUUAAGGUUGGUAAACACGCGUACACGGACGCAUAUAAUACUACCCGCCUGACAUUGGCAUGUGUUAUUCAGGUGUCAAAGUUGUGCAGAGUUGAAGGAAGAAACCUCAAAGACAGUGCCAGAAGGAUGCUGGACAGGGUUUUAAAAAAAUUCCCUCAUGUCCAAAUUCAACAUGAAGGGGGGUGGUCCGCUGCAGAAAGAGGCUUUUGAAAAGCACUGUUCUCGGUCAUUAGAGGUAUGUGUAUAAAACACACAACAUUUACCAGAGAGCUUCUCUCUUCUUUAGCACACUGAAUGGUGAUACACUAUAUAUAUCUCAUUUUUAUUUUUAGUAGACAUCCAAGCA